UAGAAAACAAGUCUAGUUUUAAAGAUUUCCAUUAAAAUCCAAAGAAUUAUUGGAAAAAUGGUUACAGGCUAUAAAUAGAAAAAAUUUUAUGCCUAAUAAAUAUAGUAUAAUGGGGGGUUAAUGAUUCCUUCAUCUAGUAUGUCUAUAUUAUGCCGAAUUUGUGAAAGUUCAUUUAGAACUUAUCAAAAUGAUAUUAAACGUAAAAAUAUUAUUAAAAAAAUGGAAGUGUUGGUUUUUUCCACAAUAAUUGGUACAAAUAUUUUUAUUGAUCUUACUGAACAUAUUAAUGAACAUGAGAUUGGUUACAGCCAUUUUCAAAUUCUUGUAAAAUUAAUUGUUCAAAGAUAUUUAAAUAUUAGAUUUUUCCAUUUUGCUGACU